rnacentral:rRNA from 1 species
GCUAAAUACUCCCGAGAGACCGAUAGUGAACCAGUACCGCGAGGGAAAGGUGAAAAGUACCCCGAGCAGGGGGGUGAAAUAGACCCUGAACCCGCGCGCCUACAAGCGGUCGGAGCCAUGAAAUAUGGUGACGGCGUGCCUUUUGCAUAAUGAGCCUACGAGUUAGUCGUCACCAGCGAGGUUAAGGGCUUCAGGCCCGUUAGCCGAAGUGAAAGCGAGCCUUAACAGGGCGUCGAGUUGGUGGCGCUAGACGCGAAACCUUGUGAUCUACCCACGAGCAGGUUGAAGUCGCGGUAACACGUGAUGGAGGACCGAACCGGUAAACGUUGAAAAGUUUUCGGAUGACUCGCGGGUAGGGGUGAAAGGCCAAUCAAACUGGGAAAUAGCUCGUACUCUCCGAAAUGCAUUUCGGUGCAGCCUGUGAUGUUCUGUUCCAGAGGUAGAGCUACUGGUUGGACGCGAGGGCUUCACCGCCUAUCAAAUCCGGAUAAACUCCGAAUGCUGGAACACGAAAUCAUGGAGUGAGCCCGCGGGUGCUAAGGUCCGCGGACGAGAGGGAAAGAACCCGGACCACCGGCUAAGGUCCCGGAUGGACAGUUAAGUUGAUCAAACGAGGUGGGAUCGCUGAGACAGCUAGGAUGUUGGCUUGGAAGCAGCCAUUCAUUUAAAGAGUGCGUAACAGCUCACUAGUCGAGCGAUCCCGCGUGGAUAAUACACGGGCAUCAAACUGUCAACCGAAGCCGUGGGGUUAGUUAAUGACUAACCGGUAGGAGAGCAUUCCUGCCAGCUUUGAAGGUCACCCGCGAGAGUGACUGGAGCGGCAUGAAAAGCAAAUGUAGGCAUAAGUAACGAUAAUGGGGGCGAGAACCCCCCACGCCGCAAGACCAAGGAUUCCCCGGCAAUGUCAAUCAGCCGGGGGUCAGCCGGCCUCUAAGGCUCACCCGAAAGGGGAUGCCGACGAGAAACGGGUUAACAUUCCCGUGCUUCUCGUCACCGUGACGCGGUGACGGGGUGAUGAAUGGACCGCGCGCUGACGGAAUAGCGCGUUGAAGGCCGUACCCUAUGACGGUGGUAGUCAAGCACGCCACCCGAGGCGAAAGUCGAUAGUACCUCGAGGCCUCGGCCGAGGGGAUAGCGUCCAGGCAAUUUACCCCCUAGAAAACCCGCUAAACUUCAAGUGACGAGGAACCGUACUGUAAACGGACACACGUGGUCGGGUAGAACAUACCAAGGCGCUCGAGUGAUUCAUGGUCAAGGAACUAGGCAAAAUAGUCCUGUAACUUCGGGAAAAAGGACGCUCUAGUGAUAGAGCCGCAGAGUAAUGGCCCAGGCGACUGUUUACCAAAAACACAUGGCUAUGCCAAAUCGAAAGAUGACGUAUAUGGCCUGACACCUGCCCGGUGCCGGAAGGUUAAGAGGAGAGCUCAUCGGAAACGAGAAGGUUUGAAUUGAAGCCCCGGUAAACGGCGGCCGUAACUAUAACGGUCCUAAGGUAGCGAAAUUCCUUGUCGGAUAAGUUCCGACCUGCACGAAUGGUGUAACGAUCUGGGCACUGUCUCGACCAUGAGCUCGGUGAAAUUGUAGUUCCGGUGAAGAUGCCGGGUACCCGCGACGGGACGGAAAGACCCCGUGAACCUUUACUGCAGCUUCGCGUUGUUCCCGGGCACGGGACGUGUAGGAUAGGUCGGAGGCUACGAGUCGGUUUCGCCAGGAAUCGAGGAGCCAUCGUUGAAAUACGACCCUUCUCUUGUCUGGGAUCUAACCCAUGGUAAUGGGGACACCGCGUGGUGGGUAGUUUGACUGGGGUGGUCGCCUCCAAAAGCGUAACGGAGGCUUCCAAAGGUACCCUCGGGUUGGUUGGUAAUCAACCGUAGAGUGCAAUGGCACAAGGGUGCUUGACCGGGAGACCAACAAGUCGAUCGGGUGCGAAAGCAGGGCAUAGUGAUCCGGUGAUCCCGCGUGGAAGGGUCAUCGCUCAAAGGAUAAAAGGUACUCCGG